rnacentral:lncRNA from 1 species
AAAGGUAUCUUUUUAACCGCCUCACGCAUGGAACGUGAAGUUCUUUUCCGAAACAAACUCUGACACAAGUUUGUUCCGUAGCGUACUUAAAGCAGGUUUUGUGCACCCGCAAAUUGUCGGUUAAAUAAAAAAAAAUAGAAAAAAAAGUUGUGCAGCGACAUGUGCACGGUGAUUGAAAGCAUCGACGGACGAACGGCAGAUAAGAGUGUCGGUCUACACUGAUAUGGUGGGC